rnacentral:misc_RNA from 1 species
GUAUUGAUUGCGUGUGACCGCAAAAGAAAAAACAUUCUACACUGUAUCAAGUUUUAUGUGAAAACGCAAGCCCUCCUGCAAAGGGGGGCCCACGCGGUGAUGCACAAAGGGGUGAGAUGGAUGUGUGAGAGAGCUUGGGCGUGCACGACCCUUGAAGGGUCAGCGACAGCCCUUGCACCUCAGUUGUACGAUAAUGAUCCUUCCGCAGGUUCACCUACGGAAA